rnacentral:rRNA from 1 species
GACGAACGCUGGCGGCGUGCUUAACACAUGCAAGUCGAACGAUGAAGCCGGAGCUUGCUCUGGUGAAUUAGUGGCGAACGGGUGAGUAACACGUGAGUAACCUGCCCUUGACUCUGGGAUAACUGCUAGAAAUGCUAGCUAAUACCGGAUACGAACUCUGAACACAUGUUCGGAGUUGGAAAGUUUUUCGGAAAGGGAUGGAGUCGCGGCCUAUCAGCUUGUUGGUGAGGUAAUGGCUCACCAAGGCGACGACGGGUAGCCGGCCUGAGAGGGCGACCGGACACACUGGGACUGAGACACGGCCCAGACUCCUACGGGAGGCAGCAGUGGGGAAUAUUGCACAAUGGGCGAAAGCCUGAUGCAGCGACGCCGCGUGAGGGAUGACGGUCUUCGGAUUGUAAACCUCUUUCAGUAGGGACGAAGCGAAAGUGACGGUACCUAAAGAAGAAGCACCGGCUAACUACGUGCCAGCCGCCGCCGUAA